GCGGUCGUGGCGGAAUUGGCAGACGCACUGCCUUGAGGUGGCAGCGGGAGCAAUCCCGUGGAGGUUCAUGUCCUCUCGACCGCACCA
rnacentral:tRNA from 1 species